ensembl:lncRNA
AUGAGUGCGGCACGAGAUUACAUAGUCGUUCUGAUGGUUCUUUUUGCAAUGAUGACUGACAUAGGCGCUAAAGGCUCCUAUUCUGAGGAUGGGACGUCCGUCACACAGAGGGGACAGUCUGAGAGUGGUGGCCCCAGCCUGUACCCCACCACACAUGACACAGACAGUGAGGUCCCCCUGGUGACAACCGCCCCGACCCUGAAUGUCCCCAACCACCACCCUCUCUACAAGGGCUUCCUCUUACAGGAGUCCCUCCAAGGACAGGGGCAUUUCUUUGAGGACAGUGGGGGUGUGGAGACCCACCCCGCUAUGCCACCCUCAGGUCCCCACUUUGCCAGGGACCCCUCCUCCACUCACACGGUGCCACACAAGGACGCGCUAGUUUUCUCCGAUGUUGCCUCAACCACUACCACUGUGGCAACAGCCACGUCACCGUUGGCAACAAAGGGCAGCAUUGCUCCAGAGGGGCGUGUCUCUGUGAAUCAGAGAGUAGCGUUGACCAAUGGCAGGGGAGGGAGGACAGAGGAGGAAGCUGAUGCCAUGGAUACCCUGACCACUCCUGUCAUGCACACCUCCGCUCCCUCACCCCACUCAAACACCCCCAACCUGGCUGCUCCUAUGGGUGAUAGGUACUCUGAGGUCCCCACUGCAUCCACCAUGACUCCCCCAGCCUUGACCACUUUGGUGGAGAAGGUUGCAGGGAAGUCAGAAGAACACAACAUGGGCCACGCCAGUGAUGGGAUAGAGAUUGGGACAUCGGUAGUAUCUGGUGUUGUGGAUGAGGAGACCACUUCGACCACUAUAACCACAACCACCAUCAUCACCACCAUGCACUACCCAGGUAAUGUAACACAGACAGGCUACACACUUGUAAUGAUCACCUACUCUUACCCAGAGUAGGUACCCAAUAUCCUGCAAUACACCUAACACCAGUUUCCGUGAUUCUGUCUUCAUUGUGAAGGUAUAAUGAACAGCAAGCUCAGAUUCUCAUUAUGCAGUCCUAGAGAUAAUCCUGGGCCUUGGUGGGUUGUAAAGUGCCUGUGUUUCACCAUCUCCAACAGAGCAGCCCCGUGUCUGUCUGUUUGUCUGAGACACCAGUGUGCUCGCUCUCUCAAUCCUCUUUGUUUGCAGCUCACAUAUCUAAACAACCAACGGGCUUAAAUUAAUUAUAACAUCAGUAUUCCUCCUCCUCUCACACUCAAUCAAGUGCUCCUGAAAUGGAAUGGAAACCAGAUUGCAAACAUGAGAUACGGAGACACAUUUGUGUUAUGGUGGGAGAGAAGAAAGAGAACUUUCAGCCUGGUCUCAUAGACUAGACAUAACAUAAUAAAUGUAAAUACAGGACACUCAAAGUAUUAUGUUAGGUUUGGUAUGGUUACUUAAGACAGAAGGUUGCUUAAGGCAAAAAAACAACAACAAAAAAACAAGAGGGUGAUUGGUUGGGAUGGAUGGGUUGACAUUUAACGUGAACGUCUAGCAACCCAAAGGUUGUGUGUUCGAAUCUCAUCACUGACAACUUUAGCAUUUUAACUAAUUAGCAACUUUGCAACUACUUACUACUUUUUAGCUACCUUGUUAGCUAACCCUUCCCCUAACUUUAACCCUAACCCCUAAACCUAACCUUUGGCCUAGCAAACGUUAGCCACCUAGCUAACAUUAGCGUUUAGCCAUCUAGCUAACAUUAGCCACACACACAUCACACCACACACAACACAUCACACCACACACAACACACCACACCACCACACCACACACACCACACCACACACACCACACACCACCCCACACACACCACACCACCACACCACACCACACACACACCAAACACUACACCACCACCACACCACACUCACACACCAUACACCACACACACACGUUCCUACACACCUUUAUAUUUAUUUAUUUUAUUGAACCUUUAUUUAAUUAGACAAGUCAGUUAAGAACAAACUCUUAUUCACAAUAAAGACGGGGGCUGGGAUUAAAAAUAAAAAAAGUUAAUAGAAAUAUAGGACAAAACAUACAUUACGACAAGAGAGACAAUACUACACAAAGAGAGACCUAAAGACAACAACAUAGCAAGGCAUC